AGAAUCAACGCUGGCGGCGUGCCUAACACAUGCAAGUCGCACGAGAAAGGGGCUUCGGCUCUGAGUAAAGUGGCGCACGGGUGAGUAACACGUGAAUUAUCUACCUCCGAGUGGGGAAUAACUGAGAGAAAUCUUAGCUAAUACCGCAUAACACUUACGAGUCAAAGCAGCAAUGCGCUUGGAGAGGAGUUCGCGGCCGAUUAGUUAGUUGGCGGGGUAAUGGCCCACCAAGACGAUGAUCGGUAUCCGGCCUGAGAGGGCGCACGGACACACUGGAACUGAAACACGGUCCAGACUCCUACGGGAGGCAGCAGUGGGGAAUUUUGCGCAAUGGGGGAAACCCUGACGCAGCAACGCCGCGUGGAGGAUGAAAUCCCUUGGGAUGUAAACUCCUUUCGAUAGGGAAGAUUAUGACGGUACCUAUAGAAGAAGCCCCGGCUAACUUCGUGCCAGCAGCCGC
rnacentral:rRNA from 1 species